GUUAAUGCUUCCUAAGUUUGAUGAUAUAAUUUUCAAGGUUUGGGUUGGCAUUUUGGCGAUGACUUACCUUGUAUGUGUGGUUAGUUUAGCAUAUAUAACUGCUUUUGGUAUUUAAGCUGUAUUUAGCUUCAAAUAAUCAAUAUAUAACCAUACAUUAAAGAAAGUCAUACCCAGGGUCAUCCCAAGUCCAUAUCCAAGCAACUUCCUUAUCCAAGUACCUGUUACCAUUGCCUUUCAUCUAUU
rnacentral:misc_RNA from 1 species